rnacentral:rRNA from 1 species
GACAGAGGGGGCAAGCGUUGCUCGGAAUUACUGGGCGUAAAGGGCGCGUAGGCGGGAUGGCGAGUCGGUCGUGAAAUCCUUCGGCUCAACCGAAGAACGUCGAUCGAUACUGCUGUUCUUGAGGGUUGCAGAGGAGACUGGAAUUCCCGGUGUAGCGGUGAAAUGUGUAGAGAUCGGGAGGAACACCGGUGGCGAAGGCGGGUCUCUGGGCAAUUCCUGACACUGAGGCACGAAGGCCAGGGGAGCAAACGGG